rnacentral:lncRNA from 1 species
CUGUUUGGUGGUCUCUUCACACGGACGCGCAUGAAAUUUGGUGCCAUGACUCGGAUCGGGGGACCUCCCUUGGGAGAUCAAUCCCCUGUCUUCCUGUUCUUUGCUCCGUGAGAAAGAUCCACCUACAACCUCAGGUCCUCAGACCGACCAGCCCAAGGAACAUCUCACCAAUUUUAAAUCAGGAGCUUACUACACGUGCCGGCAAUCUGGCCACUGGGCCAAGGAAUGCCCGCAGCCCGGGAUUCCUCCUAAGCCGCGUCCCAUCUGUGUGGGACCCCACUGGAAAUCGGACUGUUCAACUCACCUGGCAGCCACUCCCAGAGCCCCUGGAACUCUGGCCCAAGGCUCUCUGACUGACUCCUUCCCAGAUCUUCUUGGCUUAGCGGCUGAAGACUGACACUGCCCGAUUGCCUUGGAAGCCCCCUAAACCAUCACGGAUGCCGAGCUUCGGGUAACUCUCACAGUGGAAGAUUACAGAUGGGUCAUCAACUAAUACACUUGAAAGCUUAGAAUCAGAGCUAACCUGGACAAACCAAACUUUUAUUGAAAGCAAGCCAUCGAUAUUUUGGUUCAACUCCUCAUUCACAGAUCUCCCUCUCAGAGCAAUUGGAUGAUUAAUGAAUUAAUUCUUUCAUUUUUUCUACAAAUAUUUAUCAAAACCUGACGGUGAAUAGCACUGUCUCUAAAAAUUCCUUCCUUUUAGGGGAAGGAGAGCAUUCCUCGUGGCCCUGCUUGAGGCCAGAUGUUUACCCCAGGGAUUGGGAAAAGACAGAAGAGCCAGGAAGGGUGCAAGGUACAGGCUGAGGAACCUUUCACUGUUGUAAGUUAUGUCUGUGUCUGUGUCUUUCUCUGCUGCUGCCUUUGUGCUAAGUAUGCUACCUGACACACGGUAGUUGCUUCAUAAAAAGGGUCAAAUUAAAUGAAAGCAACAGCUCUCUUGGAUGUUCUUGUUUUUCCUUAACCAUUCUGGAAUUUUACUUAUUAAGCUUGUUGACUGGAAUAAUUGGAUAUAUUGGCUUAUUAUAAAGUUUCCUGUAUUAGAUUAAACAUGAUUAACUUUCA